rnacentral:rRNA from 1 species
AAGGGUUGUUCGAGACUAGAACGUUGAUAGGCAGGGUGUGUAAGCGUUGUGAGGCGUUGAGCUAACCUGUACUAAUUGCCCGUGAGGCUUAACCAUACAACACCCAAGGGGUUUUGUA